CCCUUAGACGUUCUGGGCCGCACGCGCGCUACACUGACCAGUGCAACAAGCAUCCGUCCUUGGCCGACAGGCCCGGGCAAUCUUUGAACGCUGGUCGUGAUGGGGAUAGACUUUUGCAAUUUUUGGUCUUCAACGAGGAAUUCCUAGUAAACGCAAGUCAGCAACUUGCAUUGAUUACGUCCCUGCCCUUUGUACACACCGCCCGUCGCACCUACCGAUUGAAUGGUCCGGUGAAGCCUCCGGAUUGGCGCGCACCUCGGUGCCGCCGAGAAGUUGGCUAAACCUUACCAUUUAGAGGAAGGUGAAGUCGUAACA
rnacentral:rRNA from 1 species